rnacentral:tRNA from 1 species
UCCAUGGUGGCUCAGAUGGUAAAGCAUCUGCCUACAAUGCAGGAGACCUGGGUUCAAUCCCUGGGUCAGGAA